GAUGAACGCUGGCGGCGUGCCUAAUACAUGCAAGUCGAGCGAAUGGAUUAAGAGCUUGCCCUUAUGAAGUUAGCGGCGGACGGGUGAGUAACACGUGGGUAACCUGCCCAUAAGACUGGGAUAACUCCGGGAAACCGGGGCUAAUACCGGAUAACAUUUUGAACCGCAUGGUUCGAAAUUGAAAGGCGGCUUCGGCUGUCACUUAUGGAUGGACCCGCGUCGCAUUAGCUAGUUGGUGAGGUAACGGCUCACCAAGGCAACGAUGCGUAGCCGCCCUGGGAGGGUGAUCGGCCACACUGGGACUGAGACACGGCCCAGACUCCUACGGGAGGCAGCAGUAGGGAAUCUUCCGCAAUGGACGAAAGUCUGACGGAGCAACGCCGCGUGAGUGAUGAAGGCUUUCGGGUCGUAAAACUCUGUUGUUAGGGAAGAACAAGUGCUAGUUGAAUAAGCUGGCACCUUGGCGGUACCUAACCAGAAAGCCACGGCUAACUACGUGCCAGCAGCCGCCGUAA
rnacentral:rRNA from 1 species